rnacentral:rRNA from 1 species
UGGGGAAUAUUGCACAAUGGGGGAAACCCUGAUGCAGCCAUGCCGCGUGUGUGAAGAAGGCCUUCGGGUUGUAAAGCACUUUCAGCGGGGAAGAAGGCGUUAGCGUUAACAGCGCUAUCGAUGACG